CCAUCUCGGCCGACUUAACAUCCAAUCAUGCUUCGCACCCUCCUCAUCCUGGCCCUGGCCACCUGCGCCCUCGCCGGAUACGUCGGCUUCCCAGCUCGUACCAGUUUCUCCUAUCAUGCCAACCCCUGGGCAGUUUCCCAUGUUCCAGCUUGGGGCUACGGCCAUGGCCUUGGAUACGGCUACGGCACCUACGGUUUGGGCUACGGUUGGGGCGGUCUGAGGUACUGGUAAACUCGAGAACCAAAAGUGCCCCAGACGACAAGCGCAGUGGAAACAGAAAUUUCAUGGCGGCUGACAGGCUCCUCAAGUUCCAGAGUAUGGCAGAAUGUGCCUCAUUGUUCACGAAUAAAAGAUGAUUCUGAAGCUAC
rnacentral:lncRNA from 1 species